rnacentral:rRNA from 1 species
UACAGAGGGGGCAAGCGUUGUUCGGAAUUACUGGGCGUAAAGAGCUCGUAGGCGGUCUGUUGCGUCGGCUGUGAAAACCCGGGGCUCAACCCCGGGCCUGCAGCCGAUACGGGCAGACUAGAGUUCGGCAGGGGAGACUGGAAUUCCUGGUGUAGCGGUGAAAUGCGCAGAUAUCAGGAGGAACACCGGUGGCGAAGGCGGGUCUCUGGGCCGAUACUGACGCUGAGGAGCGAAAGCGUGGGGAGCGAACAGG